rnacentral:rRNA from 1 species
ACGAACGCUGGCGGCGUGCUUAACACAUGCAAGUCGCACGGAAAGGCCCUGCUUUUGUGGGGUGCUCGAGUGGCGAACGGGUGAGUAACACGUGAGUAACCUGCCCUUGACUUUGGGAUAACUUCAGGAAACUGGGGCUAAUACCGGAUAGGAGCUCCUGCUGCAUGGUGGGGGUUGGAAAGUUUCGGCGGUUGGGGAUGGACUCGCGGCUUAUCAGCUUGUUGGUGGGGUAGUGGCUUACCAAGGCUUUGACGGGUAGCCGGCCUGAGAGGGUGACCGGCCACAUUGGGACUGAGAUACGGCCCAGACUCCUACGGGAGGCAGCAGUGGGGAAUAUUGCACAAUGGGCGGAAGCCUGAUGCAGCAACGCCGCGUGCAGGAUGACGGCCUUCGGGUUGUAAACCGCUUUCGCCUGUGACGAAGCGUGAGUGACGGUAAUGGGUAAAGAAGCACCGGCUAACUACGUG